CAUUCUCUCAGGUCUGGGGCUCAGCCUUUCAGGAACCAAAUCUCCUGUGGCAUGUUUUGCUCUGUGCUGGCAAACACUGAGCUCAGUAAUCAGGGCUGCCAUCAUCAGCUCCUGCACCACGUGAACAUUUGUGUCUCUCCAUCAGAUUUGUGAGGAGGUUGUGGUGGCAUGGCCAGCUCUCAUGGCAGUGUUUCCAGAUAGCAGAUGGUGACAGCUCAGCGCUCUCACCCGAGGCAGCUGGGAUGGUUGGAGCAUGCCAGGGUAACUGAGUCGACUCACAGACAGGACUGUUCAGGCAGCAGAUGUGUAAGCAGAGGUCAGGGUUCGUAUGGACAAAGAACAGGGUCUGAAAAUGUUAGUAAAACCAGGUCACCGAGGGAAGUUCACCAACCAAACACAUGGUGGGGAAGCCUGGGGAAGGUGGAAAUGUUGUUGUACCUACAUGGAAGAUUUUUGAGGAGGUCACUCGCUUCUUUGCCUGCAUGAAAUCUGGACUUACUUUUGUUAUGGUAAUUUAAGAUGUUGACAUUAAGCUAACAAUAAAAUCGCAUAAAAGCAGCAGCAGCAAAACAGGCUCCUCUUUCCAACAGGGUGGACUAUUUGCAAUUUCUCCCACUUGCAGUCUCUUAAUUUUGUUCCUUUGAAAACUCCCCUGCUAACAUGAACAAUAUUAUCACCGAUGGCUCUGUACGGUGAUACACAUUAUUUCUGCCUCAGCACACGGUUAGAUGGGUCCCACAACAGGGAAGGUGAAGAAGCCAGUGGCAAAGAAGGUGCUGGAUGUCCCUGUCCCUGUUCCCUGUCCCUGA